rnacentral:ncRNA from 1 species
CCCGGUUCGCCGGGACGAAAUGUGGUCGACUUGUUCGACUGAAUCGCAAG